rnacentral:rRNA from 1 species
UUCCGGUUGAUCYUGCCGGAGUCACUGCUAUCGGGGUUCGAUUAAGCCAUGCGAGUCGAGAGGGUUCGGCCCUCGGCGUACUACUCAGUAACACGUGGAUAACCUGCCCUAAGGAAGGGGAUAACCUCGGGAAACUGAGGAUAAUACCCUAUAGGUUACAGACGCUGGAAUGCCCUGUAACCGAAAGUUCCGGCGCCUUAGGAUGGAUCUGCGGCCGAUUAGGUUGUUGUUGGGGUAACGGCCCAACAAGCCGAUAAUCGGUACGGGUUGUGGGAGCAAGAGCCCGGAGUUGGAUUCUGAGACAUGAAUCCAGGCCCUACGGGGCGCAGMAGGCGCGAAAACUUUACAAUGCGGGAAACCGUGAUAAGGGAACCCCGAGUGCCUGUAUAUGCAGGCUGUCCAGGUGUCUAAAAAACACCUGAAGAAAGGGCCGGGCAAGACCGGUGCCAGCCGCCGCGGUAAUACCGGCGGCUCGAGUGGUGGCCACUUUUAUUGGGCUUAAAGCGUUCGUAGCUGGGUUGUUAAGUCUCUUGGGAAAUCUGACGGCUCAACCGUCAGGCGUCCAAGGGAUACUGGCAAUCUUGGAACCGGGAGAGGUGAGGGGUACUUCGGGGGUAGGAGUGAAAUCCUGUAAUCCUCGAGGGACCACCUGUGGCGAAGGCGCCUCACCAGAACGGCUUCGACAGUGAGGGACGAAAGCUGGGGGAGCAAACCGGAUUAGAUACCCGGGUAGUCCCAGCCGUAAACGAUGCGCGUUAGGUGUAUYGGUGACCACGAGUCACCGAGGUGCCGAAGGGAAACCGUGAAACGUGCCGCCUGGGAAGUACGGUCGCAAGGCUGAAACUUAAAGGAAUUGGCGGGGGAGCACCACAACGGGUGGAGCUGCGGUUUAAUUGGAUUCAACGCG